AAGGCCUAUUGUUUGGCUCACCUGAGUUAUAGGCCCACCCCUCGAGGUCAAGGCAGCCGGAUCUGUUACCAGAAGGAGGAUUGGGCCGGAAAGAGUGUGGUAACAGAAAACAAUAGCUAUGACAGAGAGACUGUUUCUUGUUCAGUGUCUCAGAUGAUCAUUACAUUCUCUAAAGAGGAGGCAAGUCUGCUUUUAAUGUUGAAAGAAUCCUAUCAUCCUAAGGAGAGGCAAAGAGGAGGAGCAUGUUUAGCUUAAAAAUACCAGAGGUGAUUUUUGAGAAUGGAAGAGCUACUGUUCCUCAGAUUGUCCUGUAGGCCAGCUUUCUGAGACUCAGGUCUUUCUGCCUCAGCACUAUUGGCAUUUUGGCCCAGAUAUUUCUUGUUGUGAGGGGCUGUUCUGUGCACUGCAGAGUAUUUGGUAGCAUCCCUAGCUCCAUCCUCUAGAUGCCAGUAGCAUCCUCCUUCUGCAGUCAUGACAAACACUAACAUCUCCAGACAUUAUGCCUCUGGAAGGCAAGAUUGCCUUUGUUCUGGAAGAAAGGAGGUGUUAAGGAAAAACAAAGUCAGUAAAAGGACAAGAGUUGAUGUCCAAGGCAUGAGUGGAAGCCGCAUGUACUGUGUCUGCAGCAAAAAGGCUGCCUCUUCUGUUACCAAAGAUACGCCGGGUUACUCUUCACUUUUAAAAGAAUGUAUAUCACCGAAAAGAAUUUUGGAGGCUUCCCUGGUGGUCCAGUGGCUGAGACUUCGCACUCCCAAUGCAGGGGGCCCAGAGGUAAGUCCUGGAGGAGGUCAUGGAGAGGACGUAACCACUGGUUGACUCACGAGAUGGACUCAGGCAAUUGAAGGCUCCUCAUCGCCUCCCUCAUUCUUGGAAUGCAUAUUCUGCCCAUCUUUCCUACACUGGGAGCUGUUCCAAGAACAUAGCCUUGAAAGAAUAAAGCAUUGUUGAGAUUGUCUGAAUGACGUGUG
ensembl:lncRNA